rnacentral:misc_RNA from 1 species
CGAGUUUGACAUGGGUUGUAGCUGGCCUUCCGAGGCAUGUGGCCACGCCCUGCUCAUCCACUCUACACCUGUGCCUUACUGUGGGUUUCAGGCGCGUCAGCGAGUCUCGCGUGCUCGAGGCGUUACUGGGCCUACUUUCCACUACAAACACUUGAUAGUAAUAGAAUGUGUAUAGAUGUUCAAACCGCAUCAUUACAUA